UCUCCUUUCCUCCCCAGCGCUGCCAGUUUCCCUCGUGCCCUCGUUCUUCCCUGGUAAGUUCUGAGAGAAAGCAGAGAGAGAGGGUGCAGCGCCUCCUCCGUCUAACCGCCGAUCCGUCGUCUCCGGCACUGGGCGCCAUGUCCGGGGGCUCGGGGCGGCUCCCCGCGUCCCAUUCCCGGCGCUAGGACCCCGAGGCGCCCCCCCCCCCCC
rnacentral:lncRNA from 1 species